CAGCCGCCGCGGUAAUACGUAGGGUGCGAGCGUUAAUCGGAUUUACUGGGCGUAAAGCGUGCGCAGGCGGCCCGUUAAGACAGGUGUGAAAUCCCUGGGCUCAACCUAGGAAUUGCGCUUGUGACUGGCGGGCUCGAGUACGGUAGAGGGGGGUGGAAUUCCUGGUGUAGCAGUGAAAUGCGUAGAGAUCAGGAGGAACACCGAUGGGGAAGGCAGCCCCCUGGGCCUGUACUGACGCUCAUGCACGAAAGCGUGGGGAGCAAACAGGAUUAGAUACCCUGGUAGUCCACGCCCUAAACGAUGGGUACUAGCCGUUUGGUGCGCGAAAGCGCUGAGUGGCGAAGCUAACGCGUGAAGUACCCCGCCUGGGGAGUACGGCCGCAAGGUUGAAACUUAAAGGAAUUGGCGGG
rnacentral:rRNA from 1 species